AAUAAAAUUUCAGAUUAUUUGCGUUUACCUUGUUGCUAAUUUUUAGUGAGUGUUUAAUCAAGUGAGGUUGCUUCAACCAUCUUAUUAAGUUAAAGAAUCGAAUCGACUUAUCGGGUAAGCUCGUGAUUUUUUUUUAUUCCAAUUUUUUUUCGAGUUCCCUUAAUUUGCAUUCACAAGUUGAAUGUGGGUUAAGUAGGGACGGUUUAUUUUAAGAUUUUUGAAU
rnacentral:lncRNA from 1 species